rnacentral:rRNA from 1 species
AUUGAACGCUGGCGGUAUGCUUAAGACAUGCAAGUCGUGCGGUAGAAGGCUUCGGCCUUUGAGAGCGGCGGACGGGUGAGUAACACGUGGGAAUCUGCCUAUUAGUGGGGGACAGCCCAGCGAAAGCUGGAUUAAUACCGCAUACGCCCUACCGGGGAAAGGACAGCAAUGCGCUAAUAGAUGAGCCCGCGUAAGAUUAGCUAGUUGGUAAGGUAAAGGCUUACCAAGGCGACGAUCUUUAGCUGGUCUGAGAGGAUGGCCAGCCACAUCGGGACUGAGACACGGCCCGGACUCCUACGGGAGGCAGCAGUCGGGAAUAUUGGACAAUGGGCGCAAGCCUGAUCCAGCAAUACCGCGUGUGUGAAGAAGGCCUGCGGGUUGUAAAGCACUUUCAGUUGGGAAGAUAAUAGACGUUACCAACAGAAGAAAGCACCGGCUAACUCCGUGCCAGCAGCCGCGGU